AGUGAACGCUGGCGGUAGGCCUAACACAUGCAAGUCGAACGGCAGCACAGUAAGAGCUUGCUCUUACGGGUGGCGAGUGGCGGACGGGUGAGGAAUACAUCGGAAUCUACUUUUUCGUGGGGGAUAACGUAGGGAAACUUACGCUAAUACCGCAUACGACCUACGGGUGAAAGCAGUGGAUCGUCGGACCUUGCGCGAUUGAAUGAGCCGAUGUCGGAUUAGCUAGUUGGCGGGGUAAAGGCCCACCAAGGCGACGAUCCGUAGCUGGUCUGAGAGGAUGAUCAGCCACACUGGAACUGAGCCACGGUCAAGACUCCUACGGGAGGGAGCAGUGGGGAAUAUUGGACAAUGGGCGCAAGCCUGAUCCAGCCAUACCGAGUGGGUGAAGACGGCCUUCGGGUUGUAAAGACCUUUUGUUGGGAAAGAAAAGCAGCAGGUUAAUACCCAGCUGUUCUGACGGUACCCAAAGAAUAAGCACCGGCUAACUUCGUG
rnacentral:rRNA from 1 species